GAUGAACGCUGGCGGCGUGCCUAAUACAUGCAAGUCGAGCGAGCGGACGAGAAGCUUGCUUCUCUGAUGUUAGCGGCGGACGGGUGAGUAACACGUGGAUAACCUACCUAUAAGACUGGGAUAACUUCGGGAAACCGGAGCUAAUACCGGAUAAUAUUUUGAACCGCAUGGUUCAAAAGUGAAAGACGGUCUUGCUGUCACUUAUAGAUGGAUCCGCGCUGCAUUAGCUAGUUGGUAAGGUAACGACUUACCAAGGCCACGAUGCAUAGCCGACCUGAGAGGCUGAUCGGCCACACUAGAUCUGAGACACCGUCCAGACUCCUAGAGGAGGCACCAACAUGGAAUCUACCGCAAUGGGCGAAAGCCUGACGGAGCAACGCCGCGUGAGUGAUGAAGGUCUUCGGAUCGUAAAACGCUGUAAAUAGGGAAGAACAUAUGUCUAAGUAACUGGGCACAUCUUGACGGUACCUAAUCAAAAAUCCACGGCUAACUACUUG
rnacentral:rRNA from 1 species